rnacentral:pre_miRNA from 1 species
GAGAUGCCCCUAUGGAGCAGGACUUGCUUCAGUGUGACUUUGGUGCUCACUGAGUCCACCCCUUAAGUGCGUCACU